rnacentral:rRNA from 1 species
GUCCAGACUCCUACGGGAGGCAGCAGUGAGGAAUAUUGGUCAAUGGCCGCAGGGCUGAACCAGCCAAGUCGCGUGAGGGAUGACGGUCCUAUGGAUUGUAAACCUCUUUUGUCAGGGAGCAAAGGGCGCCACGUGUGGCGUUUUGCGAGUACCUGAAGAAAAAGCAUCGGCCAACUCCGUGCCAGCAGCCGCGGUAAUACGGAGGAUGCGAGCGUUAUCCGGAUUUAUUGGGUUUAAAGGGUGCGCAGGCGGAAUGUCAAGUCAGCGGUAAAAUUUCGGGGCUCAACCCCGUCGUGCCGUUGAAACUGGCAGUCUCGAGUUGGAGAGAAGUAUGCGGAAUGCGCGGUGUAGCGGUGAAAUGCAUAGAUAUCACGCAGAACCCCGAUUGCGAAGGCAGCCUUCCGGCGCCCUACUGACGCUGAGGCACGAAAGUGCGGGGAUCGAACAGGAUUAGAUACCCUUGUAA